AAGUCGUAACAAGGUUUCCGUAGGUGAACCUGCGGAAGGAUCAUUAAAACGUAUCCAACGUUAACCAAUUGUGAACUUGUUUUCUCCCUCGGCUUAGAGCAAUCGCAGCAGGGGGAGUUACAAAUAACCAUUUUCACCCCUUUUUGCUAGUUGACUUUUUUUAAUGUUGGUUUUUACGAAAGUAGAGAUCACACGUUUCAUUAUUUGAACGUAAAAUACAACUCUUAGCAAUGGAUAUCUAGGUUCUC
rnacentral:misc_RNA from 1 species